rnacentral:rRNA from 1 species
GGUUUUCUGUCACUUAUAGAUGGAUCCGCGCCGCAUUAGCUAGUUGGUAAGGUACCGGCUUACCAAGGCANCGAUGCGUAGCCGACCUGAGAGGGUGAUCGGCCACACUGGAACUGAGACACGGUCCAGACUCCUACGGGAGGCAGCAGUAGGGAAUCUUCCGCAAUGGGCGAAAGCCUGACGGAGCAACGCCGGCGUGAGUGAUGAAGGUCUUCGGAUCGUAAAACUCUGUUAUUAGGGAAGAACAAAUGUGUAAGUAACUAUGCACGUCUUGACGGUACCUAAUCAGAAAGCCACGGCUAACUACGUGCCCAGCAGCCGCGGUAAUACGUAGGUGGCAAGCGUUAUCCGGAAUUAUUGGGCGUAAAGCGCGCGUAGGCGGUUUUUUAAGUCUGAUGUGAAAGCCCACGGCUCAACCGUGGAGGGUCAUUGGAAACUGGAAAACUUGAGUGCAGAAGAGGAAAGUGGAAUUCCAUGUGUAGCGGUGAAAUGCGCAGAGAUAUGGAGGAACACCAGUGGCGAAGGCGACUUUCUGGUCUGUAACUGACGCUGAUGUGCGAAAGCGUGGG